GAUGAACGCUGGCGGCGUGCUUAACACAUGCAAGUCGAACGGUGAAGCUCCAGCUUGCUGGAGUGGAUCAGUGGCGAACGGGUGAGUAACACGUGAGCAACCUGCCCCUGACUCUGGGAUAACAGCCGGAAACGGCUGCUAAUACCGGAUAUGCACCAUGAACGCAUGUUCUGUGGUGGGAAAGAUUUUUCGGUUGGGGAUGGGCUCGCGGCCUAUCAGCUUGUUGGUGAGGUAAUGGCUCACCAAGGCGUCGACGGGUAGCCGGCCUGAGAGGGUGACCGGCCACACUGGGUCUGAGACACGGCCCAGACUCCUACGGGAGGCAGCAGUGGGGAAUAUUGCACAAUGGGCGAAAGCCUGAUGCAGCAACGCCGCGUGAGGGAUGACGGCCUUCGGGUUGUAAACCUCUUUUAGCAGGGAAGAAGCGAGAGUGACGGUACCUGCAGAAAAAGCGCCGGCUAACUACGUG
rnacentral:rRNA from 1 species